AUUGAACGCUGGCGGCAUGCUUUACACAUGCAAGUCGAACGGCAGCGCGGGCUUCGGCCUGGCGGCUAGUGGCGAACGGGUGAGUAAUGCAUCGGAACGUGCCCAGUAGUGGGUGAUAGCCCGGCGAAAGCCGGAUUAAUACCGCAUACGACCUGAGGGUGAAAGCGGGGGACCGAAAGGCCUCGCGCUCUUGGAGCGGCCGAUGUCGGAUUAGCUAGUUGGUUGGGUAAGGGCUUACCUAGCCGACGAUCCGUAGCUGGUCUGAGAGGACGACCAGCCACACUGGGACUGAGACACGGCCCAGACUCCUACGGGAGGCAGCAGUGGGGAAUUUUGGACAAUGGGGGCAACCCUGAUCCAGCCAUGCCGCGUGCGGGAAGAAGGCCUUCGGGUUGUAAACCGCUUUUGUUCGGGAAGAAAUCCUCUGGGCUAAUACCCCGGGGGGAUGACGGUACCGGAAGAAUAAGCACCGGCUAACUACGUG
rnacentral:rRNA from 1 species